AUUGAACGCUGGCGGAAUGCUUUACACAUGCAAGUCGAACGGCAGCACGGACUUCGGUCUGGUGGCGAGUGGCGAACGGGUGAGUAAUGUAUCGGAACGUGCCCAGUCGUGGGGGAUAACGUAGUGAAAAUUACGCUAAUACCGCAUACGAUCGAUGGAUGAAAGCGGGGGAUCGCAAGACCUCGCGCGAUUGGAGCGGCCGAUAUCAAAUUAGGUAGUUGGUGGGGUAAAGGCCCACCAAGCCAACGAUCUGUAGCUGGUCUGAGAGGACGACCAGCCACACUGGAACUGAGACACGGUCCAGACUCCUACGGGAGGCAGCAGUGGGGAAUUUUGGACAAUGGGCGAAAGCCUGAUCCAGCCAUUCCGCGUGCAGGAUGAAGGCCCUCGGGUUGUAAACUGCUUUUGUACAGAACGAAAAGGUUUCUACUAAUACUAGGAGCUCAUGACGGUACUGUAAGAAUAAGCACCGGCUAACUACGUGCCAGCAGCCGCCGUAA
rnacentral:rRNA from 1 species